GACGAACGCUGGCGGCGUGCUUAACACAUGCAAGUCGAACGGUGAAGCGCCUUCCUUUUUGGUGGGUGUGGAUGAGUGGCGAACGGGUGAGUAACACGUGAGUAACCUGCCCCCUUCUUCUGGAUAACCGCAUGAAAGUGUGGCUAAUACGGGAUAUUCUGGGUCUGUCGCAUGAUGGGUCUGGGAAAGAUAUUGUUUCGGUGGGGGAUGGGCUCGCGGCCUAUCAGCUUGUUGGUGGGGUGAUGGCCUACCAAGGCGGUGACGGGUAGCCGGCCUGAGGGGGUGGACGGUCACGCUGGGGCUGAGCCACGGCCCAGACUACUACAGGAGGCAGCAGUGGAGAAUAUUGCACAAUGGGCGGAAGGCUGAUGCAGCGACGCCGCGUGAGGGAUGGAGGCCUUCGGGUUGUGAACCUCUUUCGCCAGUGAAGCAGGCCUGCCUCGUUUGUGGGUGGGUUGACGGUAGCUGGAUAAGAAGCGCCGGCUAACUACGUG
rnacentral:rRNA from 1 species